CUCCCUCCCUCCCUCCCCCGCGGGAAGGGUUCGUCCAGUUCUCUGCAGGGCAAGGGAGGAAAAUCAAAGGAGUAACCGGGAGUCACCAGGAGUAACCGGGAGAACCACCAGGCAGCAAAUAAAUGCAAGCAAAGAGAUAUCGCCGCAUUUCCAGUAUGUUCGAAAGACAAAAUCCAUUCAACUCAAGGCUACAAGUCUUCUCUGAAGGACCUUCAGACCCAAGGGAGACAGAGCUCCCCGCAGGUGCCUUGGAAUGCUCGCUCAGGACGAAGCCAGCCACCAUGCAAGAAGUCCAGUUACCUAGGCCACCAUACUGUGAGGAAGCCCAAGCUAACCAUAUGCAGAUGCCGCAUGGAGAGAGAGAUGCCCAACCAGCUCCCCGUUAUUCCAGACUUCCCAUCCCGGAUGCCAGACAUUUAAAGAUGACGACGUCAGCCACAGCCAUCACCUGGCUGCAACCCUGUAAGACCCAAACCAAGAACAGCUCAGCUGAACCAAUCAACCUCCAGAACUGUGAGAGAUAAUAUUUUACAGGUUGUGGAAAAGGUAUGAGACUGAAGUUGGGGGAGGAAAUGAAAACAUCAACUGGAGAGACAUAACGGUAGGAUCCACGGCGUUGAUUCACUAACCCGGUGCCUGUCACACAGCUAUGCUCACCCAGAAGGGCUGGAGAUGGCACCGAAGCUCACCAGGGUUUUACCCAUAUCUCGUGGGGCUGAAUUAAGAUCCACUCCUUUAGAGAAAAAAGAACCUGCUUCCAAUUCCAUCCCGGGAACUAAAACAUCAGUCCUGAUGCAGCCUGUGUCCUACAGCACCUGGACUAUCCGACUGGGUGACCUGUGUUUACCUGGCAACCCUAUUUUAAUAUGCAAAUAAAAGGAGCUGAAAAAUCUUCCACGCAAGAUCCUGAAAGGGUCUGCAUUUCCAGCAAGGCUGCGGGACAGCGAACAUUGCUGACCUACGUUUGCCGCCUCCAGGAAGGAAUUAGAUGUCUGAUACUAAAAACCACCACCAAAUGGAAGAAAUUAACCACUUGAUGAUCAUGAGGAUGUAGCCCCCAGACCUUCUGGUGCCUAAGGAUUGAUCACCAUCAACCACAAUCCAUCAACCAAUCAGAGAAUGAUGCACAUCCCUCCCUCAGCUGACCUUUAAAGAUGCUCAGCUGAAACCCUUCCGGGAGUCUGGGGUUUUUUGGGGGCAUGCGCCAUGCAUUCUCUUCGUUUGGCCCAGCAAUAAAACUUUCUCUGCUCCAAACUCCGACGUUUCAGUUUGUCUGGCCUCACUCUGCGUUGGGCACACGAACUUGCGUUGAUAACGUCUCCAAAUGAUGAAUCUUUCCCUCUUCCUCACAGGUAACCACUGUCCUGACUUCUAACGCUACAAAUUCUGGUUUUGGUUUUGAACCUCAUGUAAAGGGAAUU